rnacentral:lncRNA from 1 species
AAGGAAAGAAAAAAAAAUCUUAAAUAGUGCAUCAUUCUUUCAAAUUAUAUAAUAUUUGUAUAAAAUGAUGCAAUAUUUGUACAAUUUAUAUACUAAAUUACGAAUAAUAUUAUGUGUUACAUACAAAUACUAUAAAUAUUAUAGUAUAUUAAAUGAUGUAUAUAUUAUACUAUUUAUAUAAAUAUUUUCACCACUUAUAUAAAUAUUGUAUUAUUAAGAGAAAAUAUUGUACUGUUUAGAUGAGUAUAUUGCACUCUUUUUUUUUUGUAUUGUACAUUAAAUAAAAUGUAAGUUUUUGGAAAGGACAAAUGCUAAAUAUAAUUAUAUAUAUACCUUUUCUCAAGAGACGAGAUUUCUCAUUUUAAGACAAAAAAAUAUAUAAUAAUUAGUAAGGUAAGAGAGUAUAAUGUCCUCCCUAAUUAUGCAAUAUUUUAUAUAAAUAGUUCAACAUUCGUAUAAAAUAAUAUAAUAUUUACAUAAUUUAUACAACGCUACACAAUUAUACACUGAAUUAUGAAUAAUAUAAAAUAUCAUAUGCAAAUAAUAUAAUAAAUUACAUUAUAUUACAUAAAUCAUACUAUAUGUGUAUAAACAGUGCAUAUCUACCAUUUAUAAAUAUGCUUGCACU